UACGUAGGGGGCUAGCGUUGUCCGGAAUCAUUGGGCGUAAAGCGCGUGUAGGCGGUCCGGUAAGUCCGCUGUGAAAGUCGGGGGCUCAACCCUCGAAUGCCGGUGGAUACUGUCGGGCUAGAGUGCGGAAGAGGCGAGUGGAAUUCCUGGUGUAGCGGUGAAAUGCGCAGAUAUCAGGAGGAACACCGGUGGUGUAGACGGCUUUCUGGACCGUAACUGACGCUGGAGACACGAAAGCGUGGGUAGCAAACAGG
rnacentral:rRNA from 1 species